CAAGCCUACGGGGGGCAGCAGUGGGGGAUAUUGCACAAUGGGGGGAACCCUGAUGCAGCGACGCCGCGUGAGUGAAGAAGUAUUUCGGUAUGUAAAGCUCUAUCAGCAGGGAAGAAAAUGACGGUACCUGACUAAGGAGCCCCGGCUAACUACGUGCCAGCAGCCGCGGUAAUACGUAGGGGGCAAGCGUUAUCCGGAUUUACUGGGUGUAAAGGGAGCGUAGACGGUUAUGCAAGUCUGAAGUGAAAGCCCAAGGCCCA
rnacentral:rRNA from 1 species